GUAGGUGGCAAGCGUUGUCCGGAAUUAUUGGGCGUAAAGCGCGCGCAGGCGGUUCUUUAAGUCUGAUGUGAAAGCCCACGGCUCAACCGUGGAGGGUCAUUGGAAACUGGAGAACUUGAGUACAGGAGAGGAAAGCGGAAUUCCACGUGUAGCGGUGAAAUGCGUAGAGAUGUGGAGGAACACCAGUGGCGAAGGCGGCUUUCUGGUCUGUAACUGACGCUGAGGCGCGAAAGCGUGGGGGAGCAAACAGGAUUAGAUACCCUGGUAGUCCACGCCGUAAACGAUGAGUGCUAAGUGUUAGGGGGUUUCCGCCCCUUAGUGCUGCAGCUAACGCAUUAAGCACUCCGCCUGGGAGUACGACCGCAAGGUUA
rnacentral:rRNA from 1 species